rnacentral:tRNA from 1 species
GCGGGUGUAGUUCAAUGGUAGAACUUCAGCUUCCCAAGCUGAUAGCGUGGGUUCAAUUCCCAUCACCCGCUCCA